rnacentral:tmRNA from 1 species
GGAAGGUCGAGCAGGGACUACGCGGACUGCGCUCGGAGAAGCCCUGGUCGCGCGUCGAAGGACGCGGGUUCGAUUCCCGCCACCUCCACCAU